rnacentral:rRNA from 1 species
AAGGUAGCACAAUCACUUGUUCUUUAAAUAAGGACUAGUAUGAAUGGCAUCACGAGGAUUAAACUGUCUCCCCCACCUAAUCAAUGAAACUGACCUCCCCGUGAAGAAGCGGGGAUAAAUAUAUAAGACGAGAAGACCCUAUGGAGCUUUAAACAUAACACCACCCACCUAAGCCCACUUCAUAAAAAACAGGUGAAGCUUGUGUACGUUUUCAGUUGGGGUGACUGCGGAGCAAAAUAAAACCUCCACGAUGAAAUCUCUAAUCCAAGAACAACAAUUCAAAGAAUCAACAAAUUGACAUUAAUUGACCCAAAUAAUAAUUUGAUCAACGAACUAAGUUACCCUAGGGAUAACAGCGCAAUCCACUUCAAGAGCUCAUAUCGACAAGUGGGUUUACGACCUCGAUGUUGGAUCAGGGUAUCCCAGUGGUGCAGCCGCUACUAA